AAACGGCAAUUGCUUAUUGCACCACAUGUGUUUUUCUUUGAAACAAACUUGCUUUGGCGGUGGGCCCAGCCUGCCGCCAGAGGUCUAAACUUACAACCAAUUUUUUAUCAACUUGUCACACCAGAUUAUUACUAAUAGUCAAAACUUUCAACAACGGAUCUCUUGGUUCUCGCAUCGAUGAAGAACGCAGCGAAAUGCGAUACGUAAUAUGAAUUGCAGAUAUUCGUGAAUCAUCGAAUCUUUGAACGCACAUUGCGCCCUCUGGUAUUCCGGAGGGCAUGCCUGUUUGAGCGUCGUUUCUCCCUCAAACCGCUGGGUUUGGUGUUGAGCAAUACGACUUGGGUUUGCUUGAAAGACGGUAGUGGUAAGGCGGGAUCGCUUUGACAAUGGCUUAGGUCUAACCAAAAACAUUGCUUGCGGCGGUAACGUCCACCACGUAUAUCUUCAAACUUUGACCUCAAAUCAGGUAGGACUACCCGCUGAACUUAAGCAUAUCAAUAAGGCGGAGGAA
rnacentral:rRNA from 1 species